UACGUAGGGGGCAAGCGUUGUCCGGAUUUAUUGGGCGUAAAGAGCGUGUAGGCGGCCAUACAGGUCAGCUGUGAAAACUCGAGGCUCAACCUCGAGACGUCGGUUGAAACCGUAUGGCUAGAGUCCGGAAGAGGAGAGUGGAAUUCCCGGUGUAGCGGUGAAAUGCGCAGAUAUCGGGAAGAACACCCAUGGCGAAGGCAGCUCUCUGGGACGGUACUGACGCUGAGACGCGAAAGCGUGGGAGCGAACAGG
rnacentral:rRNA from 1 species